GACAGUAUGGCCGAGUGGUUAAGGCGCUAGACUUGAAUCCUAAUUUGAGAAAUCUAGUUCUUUCGAGAUCCAGGGUUCAAAUCCCUGUGCUGUCG
rnacentral:tRNA from 1 species